UAAAAAAAUAGGUUGAUAUAUUAUUGUAAUAUUAGACUUCCUUAUAGAAUAAGGAAGGUUGUUGAAAAUAUUUCUAUAAAUAUUGUAGGUCAUGUGGGGAAAAAGUUAUGAGAUGGAGAUGGGUUAAUAAAGACUAUAUGGGGUGGAUAGAGACGUGAAGAAGAACGGGAGGUACCUAGUGGAGCGAGAUGACUCGUGGUAGGGUAAGGAUACGAAGAGUGGGGAAACAUGGGAUGUUUCAGCACCCAAUAGUUGUAUCUGGUUUUGUCUUUUGUAAUGUUCUGAUUCUAUCAUUUGUAAUGUUCUCUAUUGUAUAGUGGAAUGAUUCUUUCUCAUCUGUGGACGUAGGCACCCAAUAGUUGUAUCUAAUUUUGUCCACUGUAAUGUUCUGGUUCUGUCAUCUGUAGUGUUUUCUAUUGUAUAGUGGAAUGAUUCUUUUUCAUCCAUGGACGUAAACAUGAUUGGUUGAACCACCUUAAAACCUUGUAUUCCAUUUGUGUUGAUUAUUUUUUUUUCUUUGUGUUCUUAAUUAAUGAUGUUUGCAUCAAAGCUUCCGCCUCCAUAACACAUGAAUAUUUCUAUCCUCUAAAGUCAGAUCUAAGGCUCUUUAAAUAUCAUAUACCAAAAGGCUCUUCAUGUUCCUGCAACAUUUUGCAAGUCAAGACAGUGAGGCAGUCAGGCACAAAAAAUAGAUUAUAAUCAAUAAAUUUGGGUAGGUAUUUUGGGAACAUCUGUUGCAAACCAACUCAGUGUGCCCAUUUAUGAAUAAUGCAUGCCUUUUAUUUUGACUUGGUGCUCCUGAACUACAUCUUUCAAAGUCCAUGAUCUUUCUUUCGAGUUCUUUAUACAGAGCAUCACAGAACAAUAGCAUAUGAUAUGUUAGUUAGGCACUUAGUCAAAUUUUUGUCCCCCCAGAUUUAAUGCUGAAAUUCAUACCAUCACUGUGAGGAAACAAGAAACAUCAUCACAUGAGACAAUAGCUUGUUGUUCCAGUAUAUCCAAAUGAUCAGUUGCAUAUAAUCAGUCGGAUGCAAUACAAAGAUAAUAAUUUCAAGUGGUCCUCUGCUGUUUGUUCAAUUAAAGAGGCAGGCCAUGGUGAAGAAACAAAUAUAUACCAGUAUGAAAGCUAUCAAAAUCUUAUAAUUAGUUGGGAGGCAAAUCCAUGUGAUGCCUUGUGACAUAUCUCCUUCAAGGGACCCCAUUGUAGUAUUCUCUUCUCCACCUAUUCCAUUGGACUGGCCUUGUGGCAUUUGUUCUAUAAAUACACUUAUUCCAAGGGUAUACAUCCACCAAGUCUCCAAGCUUUUCUUAAUUCUUGUUUUUGAAAACUCUUUGAAAUCCAUCUCUGACCAUCAUUUUUCAAGGAAUUAAGUUUGAAACUCAUGGCCAUCCACUUUCAGAGGAUUAUUCCUGCCAAGCAGAUCCUGAGACGCAUUCUUCCAUCUGCAGAGUCCACAAAUGUGCCCAAAGGCCAUGUUCCUGUCUAUGUUGGAGAGACUCAAAAGAAGAGAUUUGUGAUUCCAAUUUCAUACUUGAAGCAUCCUUCAUUCCAGAACUUGCUAAGCCAGGCUGCGGAAGAGUUCGGGUUUGACCAUCCCCUAGGUGGUCUCACAAUUCCAUGCAGAGAAGAAGCCUUCAUUGAUCUAACUUGCAGAUUGGAUUGCUCAUAAGCAAGGAGGAAAAUCUCACAACCACCAGCCUGAAGGACUCUGAAUCUCUAACACCACUGACCCCAAAAUCCAAUCCCACCAAUUUUGUAUCAUGGAGAAAUAGCCCUUUUUGUAAUGAGAACAAUGUAAAUUUCAUCUACUUUUCUGUAAAGCAAGUUGACAGUCAAAUUUCUUCAUAUUAAUUGAAUCUCUCUACUUUUUCCUUAUCUUCUGUUGUCCUCCAGAAGCCAUUCUAAACAAGUAAUUCCAUCAAUCUGCAGAUUCAUUUGCAAUACAAAUACUAGCAAUCCAAUAGCCCAAUUUUUAAGUAUUUGGGAUUUGACAAUAUAAAUACUCUCUCAUUCUGGUUUAAUUAUUAUGAAUGUUCACUACCUGAAUCAGCACUCAGCCCUAAGAAGGAAAAAAUGCUCAUUAAAUAGGAAAAGGAAGAGUAAGUAAGCAACAGAAACUGAAAAUAACUCAAUUUCACUGGGUCUAGUUCGCCAUGUGUUAGGUGGUCCUUUCCAUAACAGCUAAAAUGCCAUUGUUUUUACUGCGAAUAUAAAAAACCAGGAAAUCCUAAAUGAGUCUUAGGAUCAAAAUCCUUCAAUACUGUUUUGACUGCUUAGUUCAUUUUUCAUCUCUUUUAUGUUUGAUUCUAUUGUUUUUGACAAGGACAUUUGCAUAAUGUGAUUCCUUCUAUGGCAAUUAUUUCAAGCAACAUUAUCACAUGAGCUGAUAAUUCGUGUUCCCUUUUAGUGUAUGCUAGUUUCAUAGACUAUAUAUUACAGGUGGUUUCCGUGUUUAUGAGAACUCCAACAAGCUUCAGACAUGUACCACAGGUACCUAUGGUUAGUGGAAUGAAUAUAGUCCCUACCAGUUGGUUGUCCAAAUCCAGUCAUUGAUAACAAGAUAACAAGUUGCUAAUAAUUUCGAGUGUGCUUCUCAACUUUGUUCUGUUAAUUAAGCAGUAGGCCAUGAAUGCAUCCCAGCAAAGAAAUCUCAGUAUGAACACCACCCAAAUCGUAUUAUUAUUUGGGAGGCAAAACCAUGUGAUCCCUAGUGAUGAAUGGACCCUAUCAGAGACUUCUCUUUACCACCAUCUCUGUUGAGAAUACUGGACAUACAGAACUUGCUUGCUCUAUAUAUAUGCUAUUCAUCCUGAGGAUAAGGCAUCCCACCAGCCAAAGUUUUCUUGUUCUAACAGAUCUUAGAGUACCAUUUUCCUUACCAUUACUUUUCUGAAUUCAUAGAAGUCAUGGGUUUUGGUUUGCCUGGGAUGUUUGCUGCUAAGCAGGGUGCAGAAUCCAAAAAUGUGCCAAAAGGCUAUUUUGCUGUUUAUGUGGGAGAAGCCCAGAAGAAGAGGUUUGUGGUUCCAAUCUCAUACUUGAAGAACCCUUCAUUCCAGAACUUGUUGAGUCAGGCUGAAGAAGAGUUCGGGUUCAAUCAUCCAAUGGGAGGUCUCACAAUCCCAUGCACAGAAGAGGCCUUCAUUGAUGUUACCAGUGGUUUGAACAGCUCAUAAGAGGAGAAGAGAGAGAGUCACAUUGUAGUGUAUAGGAUGAGUAACCUCUAACACAUUGACUUGUAAUUUGUAAAGCAGUCCCUCCAGUUUUGAAUUAAGAGGACUGGACUGUUUCAUUUCCAUCCAUUGUAAAAUUAUUCUAUACAUUUUUCUGCAAGAACGUUGAGAGUAAUAUCUCUCCAUAUAUACAAAGGUUCAAACAGAAUCUCUUGGUUUCCCUUUUUUCCUGUUGAUUUUGUUUCCCCUGGUUUCCACAUAAAAUUUGAGUAACCCGAAAAGCUCAGAAGUUUAGGCAUGGAUUGAUGGAUUAACUAGUAUGCAUGUGCCUAUAUCAUAACUAUUUGGGCAUAAUGUGAUUCAUUUUUCACUCAAUUCAACUAAAAUCAAAAUAUUCAAUCCAGGAUUUUCUUUUCAAUCACUAUAAGCUGGUGAAUUAACCAGAUAUGGAGUGACUACAAGGACCUUGGAAUUUUUGGAAUUAUGUUGAGAAUUGUCUCUAGAAUUUGGGAUAUUAGUGAAUUGUUAGACCUUAGAAAUUCCGGCUUAAAAGCAAAAAUCUUUUGGGAAGUCCUGUCUCAAACAUUGGAUCAGAGACAUACUUCUGAAAUUGAAGAAAAGAAAUCACUAAUUUAUGACUCCUUCUCAUCUCUUAACUGAACCCUGCAUUGAAGCACUUUGGAAGUCAUUUGAAGCAAUUCAGCUGAAGGAAGUUAUAGUAUUGAUGGACCUAUGUAUAGUCUAUAGAUCAAAACUUGAAUCCUUCUCCUGAUGAGGAAACAUGAAUAUUUUUGUCCCCUGAGGCUAAACCUUGUGCCAUAAAAAUACUAAGAAAAAAAUUUCUACAAAUUUUGGAGUAUAUGUUGGAAACUAAUUCAGUGUGCCCAUUUAUGAAUAAUGCAUGCUUUGUUUUUAGACUUAGGGAGUUCUUGAACUACAUAUUUUCAAGGUCCAUAGUCUUGCUUUUGAGUUCUUUAUAUAAAGCAUCAUAGAACAGUAUCAUGUGAUAUGUUGGUUAGGUCUUGCUUCUGUUCAAAUUUUUGUCUCUGCGUAUUUGAUGCUGAAGCUCGGAUAGUCACUGGUUCCUCACUUGUGUAGAACAAAAGACAUCAUCACAUGAGAAUAUGGCUUGUUUGUUUCAGUAUAUCCAAAUGAUCAGUUGCAUAUAUGUUAUAACAGUAGGAUGCGAUACAAAGAUAAUAAUUUCAAGUGGUCCUCAGCUGUCUGUUCUAUCAACUGGUAGGCCAUGAUGAAGCAAUGGAUAUAUGACAGUAUGAAAGAUAUGGAAAUCUUAUAAUUGAUUGGGAGGCAAAACCAUGUGAUCCCCUGUCACAUAUCUCCUUCAAGGGACCCCAUUGUAGUAAUCCCUUCUCCAUUCAUUCCAUCUGAGAAUACUGGCCCUAUAGAAUUUGUUCUAUAAAUAUACCUAUUCUAAGGGCAUACAUCCACCAAGUCUCAAAGCUUUUCUUGUUUUCCAAACUCUUAGAAAUCCAUUUCCCACUAUCAAUUUUCUGAGUAACUAAAUUUGAAACUCAUGGCCAUCCGAUUUCAGAGGAUUAUCCCUGCAAAGCAGAUCCUGAGGCGCAUUCUUCCAUCUCCAGAGUCUACAAAUGUGCCUAAAGGUCAUGUUCCUGUCUAUGUUGGGGAAGCUCAAAAGAAGAGAUUUGUGAUUCCAAUUUCAUACUUGAAGCAUCCUUCAUUCCAGAACUUGCUAAGUCAGGCUGAGGAAGAGUUCGGGUUUGAUCAUCCACUGGGUGGUCUCACAAUCCCAUGCAGAGAAGAAGCCUUCAUUGAUCUAACUUGCAGUUUGAAUUGCUCAUAAGCAAGGAGGAUAAUCUCAAAACCACCAGCCUGAAGGACUCUGAAUCUCUAACACCACUGACCCCAAAAACCAAUCCCAUCAAUUUUGCUUCAUUGAGAAAUAGGCCUUUUUUGUAAUGAGAACGAUGUAAAUUUCUUGUACUUUUCUGUAAAGCAAGUUUACAGUCAAAUGUCUUCAUAUUAAUUGAAUAGCUCUACUUUUUCCUUAUCUUCUUUUGUCCUCCAGCAGCCAUUCUGUACAAGUUAGUCCAUUAAUUUGCAGAUUCAUUUACAAUACAAAUACUAGAAAUCCAAUGGCCCAAUAUUUAAGUACUUGGGAUUUGACAAUAUAGAUACUCUCUCAUUCUGGUUUCAUUAUUAUGAAUGUCCACUACCUGAAUCAGCACUCAACCCUAAUAAGAAAAAAAAGGCUUAUUAAAUAGGAAGAGGAAGAGAAAAUAAGCAGCAUAAACCGAAAAUAACCCCAUUUCACUGGGUCAAGAUCGCUAUGUGUUAGGUGUUCCCUUCCAUAACAGCUAAUCGCUAUGUGUUAGGUGUUCCCUUCCAUAACAGCUAAAAUGCCAUCGUUUUAACUGAAAAUAUCAAAAACCAUGAAAUCCCAAAUGAAUUUAGAAUCAAAAUCCUUCAAUAAUUUUUUGACUACUAAGUUAAUUUACAUUUACUUCAUGUUUGAUUCUAUUGUUAAACACUUUGACAAGGACAUUUAUAUUAUAUGAUUCCUUCUAUGGCAAUUAUUUCAAGCAACAUUAUCACAUGAGCUGAUAAUUCGUGUUCCCUUUUAGUGUAUGCUAGUUUCAUGGACUAUGUAUUGCUAGUAGUUUGUGUUUAUAAGAACUCCAACAAGCUUCAGACAUGUACCACAGGUAUGCUAUGGUUAGUGGAAUGAAUAUAGUCCCUACCAGUUGGUGGUCCAAGUCCACAACCAUUCCCAGCAAAUAAAUUUCUGUAUGAACACCACCCAAAUCUUAUUAUUAUUUGGGAGGCAAAUCCAUGUGAUCCCUUGUGAUGAAUGGACCCUAUCAGAGACUUCUCUUUGCCACCAAUUCCAUUGGGAAUACUGGCCAUACAGAACUUGCUUGCUCUAUAUAUAUUCUACUCAUCCUGAGGAUAUGGCAUCCCACAGCCAAAGUUUUCUUGUUCUAACAGAUCUUAGAGUACCAUUUUCCUUACCAUUACUUUUCUGAAUCCAUAGAAGUCAUGGGUUUUGGUUUGCCUGGGAUGUUUGCUGCUAAGCAGGGUGCAGAAUCCAAAAAUGUGCCAAAAGGCUAUUUUGCUGUUUAUGUGGGAGAAGCCCAGAAGAAGAGGUUUGUGGUUCCAAUCUCAUACUUGAAGAACCCUUCAUUCCAGAACUUGUUGAGUCAGGCUGAAGAAGAGUUCGGGUUCAAUCAUCCAAUGGGAGCUCUCACAAUCCCAUGCACAGAAGAGGCCUUCAUUGAUGUUACCAGUGGUUUGAACAGCUCAUAAGAGGAGAAGAGAGAGAUUCACAUUGUAGUGUAUAGGAUGAGUAACCUCUAACACAUUGACUUGUAAUUUGUAAAGCAGUCCCUCCAGUUUUGAAUUAAGGGGACUGGACUGUUUCAUUUCCACCCAUUGUAAAAUUAUUCUAUACAUUUUUCUGAGAGAAAUUUGAGAGUAAUAUCUCUCCAUACAAAAGUUCAAAAAGAAUCUCUUGGUUUUCUGUUUUUUUUUUUUCCUGUUGAUUUUAUUUCCCAUGGUUUCCAUUUAAAAUUUGAGUAACCCAAAAGGCUCAGAAGUUUAGGCAUGGAUUGGUGUAUUGACCAGUAUGCAUGUGCCCAUAUCAUAACUAUUUGGGCAUUAUGUGAUUUAUUUUUCACUCGAGUCAACCAAAAUCAAAAUAUUUAAUCCAGGAUUUUCUUUUCAAUUACUAUAAGCUGGAGAAUAAACCAGAUAUGGAAUGGCUACAAAGACCUUGGAAUUUUUUGAAUUAUAUUGAGAACUGUUUGUAGGAUUUGAGAUAUUAGAGAAUUGUUAAACCUUAGAUAUUCAAGCUAAAAAGCACUAAUCAUCUGGGAAAUCACUGUCUCAAACAUAGGAUCAGAGACAUACUUCUGUUGAAGAAAAGAAAUCACUAUUUUAUGAUUCCUUCUCUUGUUAUUUCUUAGCUAAUCCCUACAUUGAAGCACUUCAAAAGCUAGAAGCAACCCGUUCCAAGUAAUUCAGCUGCAAGAAGUUAUAGUAUUGAUAGACCUAUGUAAAGAUGAGAACUUGAAUCCUUUUCCCGAUAAGGAAACAUGAAUAUUUUUGUCCCCUGAGGUCAAACUUUGUGCCAUAAAAAUUUGUCUAGAAUUUUUAGAGUAUAUGUUGGAAAACAAUCCAGUGUGCCCAUUUAUGAAUGAUGCAUUCUUUGAUUUUCUUUGUGUAGAGCAUCACAGAACAAUAUCAUGUGAUAUGUUUUUAAUGUCUUGCUUCUGUUCAAAUUUUCCUCUCUGCGUAUUUAAUGCUGAAGCUCGGAUCGUCACGGGUUGCUCACUUGUGCAAAACAGGAAACAUCGUCACAUGAGAGUACAUCUUGUUUGUUUCAGUAUAUCCAAAUGAUCAGUUGCAUAUAUGUUAUAACAGUAGAAUGCAAUACAAAGAUAGUAAUUUCAAGUGGUCCUCAGCUGUCUGUUCUAUCAACUGGUAGGCCAAGAUGAAGCAAUGGAUAUAUGAAAGUAUGAAAGAUAUGGAAAUCUUAUUAUUGGUUGGGAGGCAAAACCAUGUGAUCCCCUGUCACAUAUUUCCUUCAAGGGACCCCAUUGUAUUAAUCCCUUCUCCAUUCAUUCCAUCUGAGAAUACUGGCCCUAUAGAAUUUGUUCUAUAAAUAUACCUAUUCUAAGGGCAUACAUCCACCAAGUCUCAAAGCUUUUCUUGUUUUCCAAACUUUAGAAAUCCAUUUCCCACUAUCAAUUUUCUGAGUAACUAAAUUUGAAACUCAUGGCCAUCCGAUUUCAGAGGAUUAUCCCUGCCAAGCAGAUCCUGAGGCGCAUUCUUCCUUCUCCAGAGUCUACAAAUGUGCCCAAAGGGCAUGUUCCUGUCUAUGUUGGAGAAACUGAGAAGAAGAGAUUUGUGAUUCCAAUUUCAUACUUGAAGCAUCCUUCAUUCCAGAACUUGCUAAGUCAGGCUGAGGAAGAGUUCGGGUUUGAUCAUCCACUGGGUGGUCUCACAAUCCCAUGCAGAGAAGAAGCCUUCAUUGAUCUAACUUGCAGUUUGAAUUGCUCAUAAGCAAGGAGGAAAAUCUCAAAACCACCAGCCUGAAGUACUCUGAAUCUCUAACACCACUGACCCCAAAAACCAAUCCCACCAAUUUUGAAACAUGGAGAAAUAGGCCUUUUGUAGUGAUAUCAAUGUAAAAUUCCACCAUUUUUCUGUAAAGUGAGUUUAUAGUUGAAUUUCUUCAUAUUAAAAGAAUAGCUCUUUUCCCUUAUCUUAUUUUGUCCUCCAGCAUCCAUUCAAUAUAAUAAGGUAUUCCAUUGUUUGCAGAUUCAGUUGCAAUAAAAAUACAGAUGCUCUCUCAUUCUGGUUUCAUUAUGAAGAAUGCCCACUACCUGAAUCAACACUCAGCCUGAAUAAGAAAGAAAGGCUUGAUAAAUAGGACGAUUAAUUAAUCAAGGAAACUGAAAGUAACCCUAUUUUCACUGGGUCAAGUUUGCUAUGCAUUAGUUGUUUCUUUCCAAAAUAGCCAAAAUGUCAUCAUUUCUUCUAUGUUUCUCUCUGCUGUUAAAAACAUUGACAAGGACAUUUGUAUGAUAUGAUUUCUUAUAUGGCUAUUAUUUCAUGCAACAUCAUCAUAUGCCACACGUCUGUUAGAGCUACUGGAAUGAAUAUAGUCCCUGCCAGUUGGCUGAUCCAAAUCCACAGUAAGCCAAGACGAAUCCUGGCAAAUAAAUUUCAGAAUGAAAACUACAGCAAUCUUAUAGCUGGGAGGCAAACCCAUGUGAACCCUUGUGUUGAAUGUCCAAAGAUGGACCCUAUUAGAGACUUCUCUGGACUCUGUAUAUAUUCUACUCAUCAUAAGGAUAUGGCAUCCCACUGUCAAAGUUUUCUUAUCCCAAGACAUCUUUAAGAACCAUUUCUUGUUAUAGUCUGUAUCCAUUCAAAAUCAAAACAGAACAUAACUCAAUUUCUGUCAUGAAGUUAGAGAUGUCUAUCUUAAAGAAAAAACUUUGCCAAGGGUGCUUUUUCAAAAGGUUGAUUUGCAUAGUGCUGUUUUAAAUGUACCUAGGCCUACUUUACAAGGGAAAAAAAAAAUUAAGCUACGAAUAUGAUCUUCCUUUUGUCUUCUUCAUUUUCAUCAUUUGAGCUUUUCCCCUUUCCUUGAACUAUAAAUGACGGUGCUUUUAUUUUGAAGACCUGCAUCCCUCAGUCAAACUUGAUGAAGAACCCUCGAAAAACAUUGUACUAACAUUUUCUAGAUAAGAAAAACAGGAAUAGUUUGUCUUCAAUGGUAAAAUUUGAGACUCUUUUAAAUAUCAGAAACUUGAAAGCAGUAAGGAUCAGAAAACCAAGAAUAAUCAAUAAAUUUGUCUAGGUAUUUUGGGAGCAUAUGUUGCAAUCCAACUCAGAGUGCCCAUUUAUGGACGAUGCAUGCUUUGCAUUUAGACUUGGAGUUCUUGAAGUUCUUUCAUUGUCUUGCUAUUGAAUUCUUUAUAUAAAGCAUCAUAGAACAAUACCAUAUGAUAUGUUGGUUAGGUGAUUCCAUUCAAACUUUCUUCUGCUAGAUUUAAUGCUGAAGAGUGAGGACCAUAUCAUCACUGUUUCUUCACUUGCAUAGAACAAGAAACAUCAUCACAUGAGAAUAUAGCCUUUUUGUCCAAUAUGUCCUAAUGAUCGGGUGGAUGUAUGUUAUAAUGAAAUACAAAAAUAAUGAUUUCAAGUGGUCGUCUGCUGUUUGUUAUAUUCAGUGGUAGGCCAUGAUGAAGCAACGGAUAUAUGACAGUAUGAAAGGUAUCGAAAUCAUAUUAUUUCUUGGGAGGCAAAACCAUGUGAUCCCUGGUGAUAUAUCUCCUUCAAGGGACCCCAUUGCCAUAGUCUCUUACCAUUCAUUCUAUCUGAGAAUAUUAGUCAUAUAGCAUUUGUUCUAUAAAUAUACCUAUUCUAAGGGCAUAUCCAUCAAGUCCCAAACCAUUCUUGUUUUCUAAGCUCUCAGAAUCCAUUUUUUACCAUCACUUUAGUUUGAAGAACCAAGUUUGAAAAUCAUGGCCAUCCGAUUUCAGAGGAUUAUCCCUACCAAGCAGAUCCUGAGGCGCAUUCUUCCUUCUCCAGAGUCCACAAAUGUGCCCAAAGGCCAUGUUCCUGUCUAUGUUGGAGAAACUGAGAAGAAGAGAUUUGUGAUUCCAAUUUCAUACUUGAAGCAUCCUUCAUUCCAGAACUUGCUAAGUCAAGCUGAGGAAGAGUUCGGGUUUGAUCAUCCACUUGGUGCUCUUACAAUCCCAUGCAGAGAAGAAGCCUUCAUUGAUCUAGCUUUCAGUUUGAAUUGCUCAUGAGCAAUAGGCAAAAUCUAAAGACAACUGGCCUGAAGGACUUCGAAUCUCUAACAACACUGACUCCAAAAACUAAUCCCAGAAAUUUUGCACCAUUGAGAAACAGGUCUUUUUGUACUGAGAACAAUGUACAUUUCUUGUAUUUUUCUGUAAAGCAAGUGGACAGUCAAGUGUCUUCAUAUUAAUUGAAUAGCUUUACUUUUCCUCAUCUCUCUUUUAUCUUCCAGCAGCCAUUCUGUACAAGUUUUUCCUUGUCACAUUAAUACUGUUGUUACUCUGCCUCCCAAAAGCUUGCAUUAGGAAAUUCUAACAAAUGCUUGAUAUUUCAAUUCCAAUUACAUGAAACAAAUCAUUUUGUUAUGAAUGUCUACUGCUGCAACCUGAAUCAAACUCAACCCGAAUAAGAAAAAAGGGCUUGUUAUGUAGGAAGAUUAAUGAAGCAAGGGAAACUGAAAACAAGUAAACAGCCCCAUUUCAAGUUACUAUCUCUUAGGUGUUCCUUUCUAUAAUAUAGCCAAAAUGUCAUCAUUUUUUUUAGAAUAUCAAGAUCUAAAUUACAGUUUCAAUUGCCCAUGAGUGAGCAGGAAGAUUAAUCGACUUUAUUUUACAUUCUCUUUGUUGUUAAACUCGUUGACAGUGACAUUUGUACAGUAAUAUUUUUUAUAUGGCUAUUAUUUCAAGCAACAUUGUCAUAUGAACAUCUGUGUUUCUUUUCAGUGUAUGCUAGUUUCAUAGCAAAUGAAUUACAGGUAGUUUUUGUGUUUAUAAGAACCCAAACAGGCUUAGACAUAUACCACUGGAAGGCAGUGGGUAAUGGAAUGAAUAUAGUCCCUACCAGUUGGCUGAUCCAAAUCCACAGUCCCCACCAUGUCAGUUGAUCCAAAUCCAGAGUCAUUGAUCAGCAUAUAGUAAUAAAUAGUUAGCAAUUUCAAGUGGGCUUCUCAAGUUUGUUCUGUUAAUUAAGCAGUAGGCCACGAAUGCAUCCCAGCAAGACCUUAUUAUUAGCUGGGAGGCAAAGCCAUGUGGUCCCUUGUGUUUGAAUGUCCACUGAUGGACCCUAUUCAGAGACUUCUUUUCACCACCAGUUCCAUUUGAGCAGACUGUCAUAGAGAGUUUUCUUCCUCUAUAUAUAUUAUACUCAUCCUAAGGAUAUGGCAUCCCACAGCCAAAGUUUUCUUAUCCUAAGACAUCUUAGAGUACAAUUUUUCUUACCAUUACUUUUCUGAAUUCAUAGAAGUCAUGGGCUUCCGCUUGCCUGGGAUUGUUAAUGCUAAGCAGAUCCUGCAGCGAGUGCGGAUGGGUGGAGGGGUAAAAAAUGUACCAAAAGGUUAUUUUGCUGUUUAUGUGGGAGAAGACCAGAAGAAGAGAUUUCUGGUUCCGGUUUCAUACUUGAAGGAUCCUUCAUUUCAGAACUUAUUGAGUCAGGCAGAGGAAGAGUUCGGGUUCAAUCAUUCAAGGGGAGGUCUCACAAUCCCAUGCACAGAAAAAGCCUUCAUUGAUGUCACUUGUAGUUUGAAUUGCUGAUGAAAGCAGAGGAUCUCUAACAACAUUGACCUGUGAGCCAGUCUCCACAAUUUUGAAUUAAGACGACUUGGUUGUUUCAUUUCCACUCAUUGCAAUCUAUAAAUUUUUGUAUAGACAAAGCUGAGAGUCAGAUCUCUCCAUACAAAACAUUCAAAUAGAAUCUCUUCUGUUUCUUCUUUCUCAUGAAAUUUUUUUGGGAUAUUUGGGACAUUUGAUAAACAAUUAGACCCAUCAAAUCUUAUGUAAAAUGGAAGUAGGAUUGUCAAAGAUUUUCUCAGGUAAGUAAAAGAGUAGCAGUUAAAUUGUAUGUUCCUGUGUUAGCUACUUAGCUGCAAGGGUACAGCUUGAUUCAGGAAGAAAAAAAACGGAGAAUCUCAAAAACGACGCCAUUUCAUUGGAAAUAUAGAAAACGGAGAAAGUGAAGCACUGCCGUUUUGUUAGUAAAAUUUAAACGGAGAAAAGUAAACAAUGACGUUUUCUCGGUGGCCUUGGAGUGAAACGAGAACCCUCCACCUGGAGUCAGGAAUGGAGGCAUGUAUGGAUGGGGAUUCCGAAUACGAUGUCGUUUUGAUAUGAUGAAGCACUUUGAUUGAUAGUCUGCAAUCCCAAAGCCAUAUUGGAUUCCGCCAUUGAUGUCCAACUGGCAUUCUACACAGAGGUUUGAUUCCAUGAAUGGAUACUUGCAUCAUUGUUCUCAAACUAAGAAUGUAAGAUUCAUUAAGAAGCUUCAUGGGCUUCUACUUAGAACAGGCUUGCUCUUUAUCUCCCUUGGUUUUCAGAGCACCACAUGCCUUCAUAGAAACAACUCUAAAACCUUCACCACCUUGCUCAACUGCAUCACCCCACAAAGUCAUUUCCCUCCGAUAUGAUUCUAUCCGAUCAUUGUCGACAUGGGUUUUCUUUUUUGGCUCUGCAAACCUCUCUUUCAUGCAUACCAAUGGGGUUCCUUUAGAUACAUAUCAUUGAUUGAUUUCCAUUUUCUUACCUAAAAUUUGGUUAAUGGAUUUCCAUUUUCGAUCUUCAUUUCAACAACUAUUCCCGGAUCUUUGACUAGUCCACAAAUUCUCGAAAGGAAAAAUCACGGAGGAAUCUUAACCAAUCUUCAAAACCUGCUUGUUACAAAGAGAACUGAUGUAGUGAGUCUCAAAUGUGUACUUCUAUGAUAAUUUCUUAAAUUAAGGUUGAUGAUCAAAGAUUACAUAAAUAAUAAUAAUAAUAAUAAUAAUAAUAAUAAUAAUAUUUUCUUUUCUUUUCUGGACAAUCACCUAUUUGGUUAGUUUUCCUUUACGGCAACAUUGAAACAUACAUACCCUCAGUCUAACUCUAUAUACAGCAAUGUUGAGAGAAUCAAGACAGGCUACAAUACAGAUUAUUCAUCUUCCAUAAUUUUCUGAGCAAUGUUCAUAAAAACACCUAAUGGAAGUGCUGCAACGCCAAGGUGGUCAGCCAUGGCGCCUAGGGUUUCUCUCCUGUUGUCGUUGGUUCUUUCUUCUCUCCUCCUCCUCCUCCUCCUUUUCCCUUCUCGGGCAACUUCACCCUUUGGGUCCUUCAAGCUGGAGAGCUUUGGGUCUUUCAAGCAUCUGGAGGGAUCUGAAAAAAAGGAGACAAUUACAAAGGGUUUUGACGCAUGGGCUGGUGUACCAAACUUCACCUUCGACAGGGUUCGAGAUGAAAUAUUUGCUAAAAUCCGAGUUUACUUCCAAGUCAGGGAUAAGGGAACACUGCGCUACCCCUUGAUGGGCCUGGAGGAAUCUUGGCUUACGCCGAAUCAUCAUUGAAUAAUGCAACCAUCCAUUUCCAUGGAGAAGAGGAGUUGGGGAUGGCUCAUUUCCAGACUGUACUGAUUUGCAGACUGUUGCUACCCAUGAACUAAGCCAUAUUCUAGGACUUGCUCACAGUCAAGUUCAGGAUGUCAUCAUGUAUCCGUACAUUGAGUCAGGACAGGUCAAGCAUUUCACUCAAUUUUCUGAGGUAACAAGAUCACCCCAAUAUUAUUUCCUCAUAGAAAUCAACUAUUAAGAAUCAAGAUCAUAAUAGGCUGAAAAAAUAGGAGACGGAUUGGAAGUUGAUUUUUAGCAGGCUGAUUGGUUUUUUGAUGAAGGGAUAUAUUGAAUUGUAGCUCGAGGUCUCAUGGUAGAAUAUUCGAUGGAGAUAAAAGAAUUAGCUAGGUAAAAUAAUAGAGCAAAAUAAUUUUUUUAAUUAAUCUAAGAGCCCGUUUAAUAGUGAUUUUAAUAAACACUUUUAAUCUUUCUAAUAUUUAAAAUUUUUUAUCAUUUAAAUGUUAGAAAUAUUAAAAACUUUUUUAGAAUCACUCUUAAACUUAUUUUAAAUUAUGAAGAGAUUAUUAAAAGAAUGUGGGUUUAACAAUUUUUUUAAUUAAAAAUUGGUAAAAAUUGAUUUUGAUUUUCUUCAUUUCCACAACUUUUCCCCAGUGUUUGACUGGUCCUCCUUUCAUUUAAUCCUCAGGCAUCAACAAUUGAUCAAAUGGUCAAACAAUCCUCAAGAAAUUCUCAAAAAUGGAAAAACUAUGGAGGAAUAAUAUUCUUAUCAAAUCUUCAAAACCUUCUGUUAAUGGACCUUUAUAUAGUCUGUUAAAUAAUUAAAAUAAAAUAAAAUAAAAGGUUGAUAAUGGAAGAUUGCAUGCAUAGAAAUAUUUUUUUAUUUUGGAAAUUGGAAGACAUGAUUUCCUUCCAUAUAAUAAUAAUAAUAAUAAUAAUAAUAAUAAUAAUUUUUUUAUGUUUUUCUUUAAUUGAAAAUGAGAAGAAAUUAAUAUAACCCUUUGAUUCUUGAACAGCAAUUUCAAUAUUUCGUGACAGAAUUACUAAUCCUGAAUUAACCUUCAUGACUUUGUGUUGAUUCUUCCUAGAAACUCCAUAUGUUGCCAACAUUUUGGGUAGCUUUCCUUUCCACUUAUACUAAAAUCUAGCAAUAUCCUCAGACCCAAGUCCUUAUAUGGUAAUAAUGUUUGGAUAAUCCCAGUUGGAUGAAUUAAGAAAUCAAGACAGGCUGCAAUACAGUUGCACUGAUCAUUCACCUUCCAUAAUUUUCCGAGGAAUAUUGCCUAUAAAAUGAUCACCUAAUUGGAGUCAUGUAACGCUAAGGUGGUCAGUCAUGGCGCCUAGGGUUUCACUCCUGCUCUUCAUUCUUUCUUCUCUCCUCCUCCCUUUCCUUUCUCAGGCAACUUCUUCAAGCCCCUCUCGCGUCGGGCCUUUCAGGCAUCUGGAGAGCUUUGGGUCUUUCAAGCAUCUGGAGGGGUCUAAAAAGGGCGACAAAACGGAAGGCAUCCAGAUGGUGAAGAAGUACCUUGAACAUUACGGCUACUUGAGCUCUACCCAUUAUUCCCAAAUGGAUAGUGAUGAUUUCGAUGAUACCUUGGAAUCUUCCCUCAAAGCCUUUCAGACCUUUUACCAUCUCAAGCCCACUGGAAGCUUAGACGCCCCAACAGCCACCCUGAUGUCCAAGCCUCGAUGCGGGGUCCCGGACCACCCCACAAGCUCAAACAGUAUUAACCCCCAGUAUACUAUCGACCCAGGGAGCGUGAAAUGGCCCCGCGAUCAGAUGCAUAUCCACUAUAUCAUCUUCCCAGACUCCCACCCAGAGGAGCCAAUCACAAGGGGUUUUCAAGCAUGGACCACUGUUUCAAACUUCACCUUCGAGAGGGUUCGAGAGGAAUCAUUUGCUAAAAUCCGAGUUUAUUUCCAAGUGAGGGAUAAGGGAACUGCACCACCCCUUGAUGGGCCUGGAGGAAUCUUGGCUUACGCCGGUCCAUCAUUAACUAAUGCAACCAUCCAUUUCGAUGGAGAAGAGAAUUGGGUGGAAGGUGCAGUUGCUGAUUCUUUUGAUUUGCAGACUAUUGCUACCCACGAAGUAGGUCAUCUUCUAGGACUUGGGCACAGUCGAGUGGUGAAAGCCAACAUGUAUGCUUAUACGGGUACUGCAGAGACGAAACCUUUGAUUCAGGAUGAUAUCGAUGGCAUUAGAGCUAAAUACAGCACUUGAUGAUCAAUCGGCUGUCAACUUCUUUGUAUGCUAUGCAUUGGCUCAUGCAGUGAGUUUAUUUCGUCCAUCAAUAAAUCUUAUAUUAUAUUUAACAAACGAAACAUAAUCUUAAAGUAUAAGACAAUGACACUUAUCAUAAAUAGUAUUCGAUACCCAGUUAAGAGUUUUCUAUUCCAUUUGGUGUUUACUAUUCCAUUAUAAUAUUUCAUUAUGAUGAUUAAUGGAAAAUAUUCCAUUUUGAUGAUUAAUAGAAAUUAUAACAUGGAAAUAAAAUUGGACGGGUGUGAGUCGAAGAUCAAAAGGUUGGCUCAUGCUUUAUAUAAAGCUAAGGUCUCAAAUAUAAUUGAUUGGUAUGAAGAGAUCGACUCUCAACUAUAUUCAACAAAUUUACAAUUUUCAAGAAAAAUUUGAAAAAAUCUUUUUGGAUAAGUUUUCGUAAUCUCUAACUAUAAAAAUGAUAAUAAUAAUAAUAAUAAUAAAAUUAUUUUAUUAUUAUUAUUAUCUUGGUAAAACCUUCCGAAUAUGAAAAUUUACUAAAAUUAAGGAAUUAAAUCCCUUAAAUUAAUCUACUAAAAUUUAGGAAUUUGAAAUUUAAAGGAAAAAUCCUAAAACGGGAAAAGGGUUUCAUAUUAGUGGAUUCAAAAGUAUAAUAAAGGCAAAGAAUAUUAUUUUUUUGAAAUUAUACCCACAAUAUUUUUAAUUUCAAUAAAUAUUUUAUUUACAUUAUUUUUCUAUUUUAUUUUGCUAAUUUUACCUACCAAAAAUUUACGAAAUUUGUACGUGUAGUUAGUUUUUGGGGUCAGUGAUGUUAGAGAUUCGAGCUCCUUCUGGCCACUUGACAAAACAAACAGCAGAACCCCACUUGAAAUUGUUAUUUUUGUAUGGCUCCGGAUUGAUUCUGACAUAUAACCAUUUUGUUCAUUUGGAUAAAAGCAUACCUACAGAAUCUGGCAUACAGAUCAGAUCUCUCAUAUUCAGGGACCAAAUGCCAGACCAUAGUAUUAGACGUGGUACAUAUUAGGACGGGACUGUUAAAUAUCUGAACAGACAACUCCAAACCUCAAUUUGGAGGGAUGAAAGCAAUAUUUUCAUAAUGAUAUCGAUAAUUGCACCAGAAAAAUUAUUGAUUCACUUGGUGGUCGGACUUGAACGGUGAUCAAAUUAAUGACAUCAUAAAUAUAUAAUUUUAAUCUUAUUAAAAAUAAAAUAAUGAUAAAAUUAAAAUUAUAAAAUAAUUAUAAAAUUUUAAAUAUAUUUCUUCAUCUUAUCUUUAAUAUUGAUAAAUUAAAUCAUAUGAUAAGAAUAAAAUUUAUUAAUGUAUUGAUAUUUCUAAUUCUAUUAAAUAAUAAAAAUAUAACUUUUAAUGGUUUACAUGAAAUAAAAUUUUAUUAUCUAAAUAUAUUUAUUUUUAUAUUUUUUAAUAAUGUUUAAAAAACAACUUUUUUAUAUGUAGUGCUUUUAUUUUUAAUCAUUCCUCAUAUUUAUGUAAUUAUUUUUUUAAAUGAUUAUUUGAUUAAAAUGGAUGAAAUCAUCCUAAGUUUGUAAAACUUACCCUCCAUUUUUUCACCCUAAAAAAACUCAUUUCGGAUAAAGAUGCUCUUGACUUUUUUCUCACAAAAACGGCCCUUUAUUUUAAAAUACAAAUGUAAAUAUUCAAAAUGUUGAAGGAUAUUUAUGUCAAAAAUUGAGUUACUAUUCAAAUAAAAAAAUGAGAGUGGUUAAUUUUAUAAAUUUGGAUCUUUUCAUCACUUUUAAUCUAUUAAUCAUUUUAAGCAAGGUCUUAAAUCUUUGUAUGUAAGCCAUGUCAGCCAAUGUGUCACCCACCCAAUUGGCCUCUCUAAACAACUUGAGAACCUUGCACUUCCAGCUUCUAUGGCUUAUCUCUUGACAAGCUUUUGUUUGGAUGACAUGAAGACUCCUUGCAUGUAUCUUCUUUUGGGUGAGGACUAUAGAAGUUUGAGGAUCAACUUCUGCUCUACCUUUUUAUCAUGGCAGUCUCCCUUUUCUGAAAAUUAGUUCUGUUAGAAAGGUUGAAUUGCAUUUCUUGCAGAGAUAUGGCUCCUAAUGGGUCAACAGGCCACUGAAAUUAAUCCUUGUUUAAGCUAGAAUUCUUCUGGACCUAGACCUUCCAGCUAAUUGUAGCGAAAUAGUAAGCAAGUCAUGAUCUCCACUGAUCCUUUUCUUAAGAUUGAGGAAGAUCCCAUCUCUGAUUGGCGCAGAGAAGAAGCUGUUCUGGUCAAAUAUUCCUCAAAGUACUAAUCCAAAUGCCUUCAAUGAUAGGACAUUCCCUAAAGAAAUGUAGAUUUGAGUCUAUAGAGGCAUCACAAAAGUCACAAUUGGCUGAGACAGCAGGCCUUCUUUAACCAACAUUUUCCUCCCUGCAGAUUCGAGUCAUCCUUCCCUGCAGAUUCUGAAAAGAUUGGGAAGAGAACAUACCUAAGUAGAUGGUUCCUAGUGCCUUAAAUCUGUCAAAUCUUCAAGAAAAUUGAGGGGAAUAACUUCACUUUCCUGGAGAGUUGAUCAGGAAGAAUUCCAGCCAAAGCAGCCAAAUCCCAAUUGCUUGGAUUGUUAGAUAGCAGCUAACUUUUUUUUCUUUUUCCAAAUCAGUAUUGUUCAGAGGUUGCAGGGUAUGAUCUAUAAGAAUCAUACCAUUAACCCAUCUAUCCUUCCAAGAAAGUUGUUGACCCAUCACCAACUCUGCAAGCCAAGCUUCUAUUCUACACCUACUUCCCUGCCCUAAUACUCCAUGUACAAGACAAGGUUCCUUGGUUCUUCAGUGUCAACAUCUCACCAUCAACUUGAAAUGUUUUUAAGAAAUAUCAUAAGCUCUUCUUUCUUGAAAUGUUGUUGAGCAUGCCCUUAGUUGAAGAUUUGACUUUUUAGCAGGAUGAUUGAAUCUGAAAUAUUUAACAAGCCAGAGGAGAUUUAUAAAGGCUAAUGGAGUAAUCCUUUAUGUAGAUUUUGUCUGGUUGAUCUGCUGCAAAUGCAUUUGGAAAAUCUAAGGCAAUAACCUUCCUUCACUAUAUGGUUGCAAGAGGAAAAAAUAUAAGUCAAAAGCAGAGCUAUUCAAUUGAGACGAAGAGAUAAGGCUGUCAAUUUUCUUUACAGAAAAAUAAAAGAAAUUUACGUUGUUUUCACUACAAAAAACACAAUUCUCAUAAUCCAAAAAUUGCUGGCAUUGGUUUUUGUGGUCAAUGGUGUUAAGAGAUUUGGUAUAUCCUUCAGGCUGGUACUGUCCAGAUUUUCCUUCUUGCUCAUGAGCAAUUCAAGCUGCAAGUUAGAUUGAUGAAGGCUUCUUCCCUGCAUGGGAUUGUGAGACCACCCAAUGGAUGAUCAAACCCGAAUUCUUCUUCAGCCUGACUUAGCAAGCUUUGGAAUGAAGGGUGCUUCAAGUAUGAAAUUGGAAUCACAAAUCUCUUCUUCUGAGUUUCUCCAACAUAGACAGGAACAUAGCCUUUGGGCACACUUGUGGACUCUGGAGAUGGAAGGAUGCGUCUCAGGAUCUGCUUGGCAGGAAUAAUCCUCUGAAAACGGAUGGCCAUGAGUUUCAAACUUAGUUCUUUGAACGAAAGUGAUGAUGAAAAAUGGAUUCUAAGAGUUUAGAAAACAAGAAAGCUUUGGGACUUGAUGGAUAUGCCCUUAGAAGAGGUAUAUUUAUAGAGUAAUGCUAUAUGGUCGGUAUUCUCCAAUGGAAUGAAUGGUGAAGAGGCUACAGCAAUGGGGUCCCUUGAAGAGGAUAUAUCACAUGGCUUUGCCUCCCAACUAAUAAUAAGAUUUUGACAGCAUUCAUACUGAUAUACAUUUGUUGCUUCAUCAUUGCCUACCUCUUAGCAAAACAAUCAACAGAGCCCCACUCCACUUGAAAUUAUUUUGUAUUGCAUCCAGCUGAUAUAACUAGCUGUGUUAUAACUUAAGACUACUGCAUAUCAGAACAGCCAAGUUAUCUUUUGAUGUCAUGAUCUUUCUUGUUGCCACACAGGUGGGGUAUUUGUGCUGAGGGUGACCUUUCAUCUUGAAUUUGUUGGGAUGAAAGAUAGAAUGGAAGCAUUGAACCAGCAGAGCAUAUGUUAUUGUUCCAUGAUCUGAUGUCUAGACUCAAACCGACCAGAUUCACCAAACCCUAGCUAAGCAUGAAUUGGAUAAAGGAGGCUUUCAUUUCACUGGUCAACUCAAAAAUUUCAAUUCUUAGACCAAGUACCACCACUAGCAGCCUAAGUACUUGGCAACAAGAUAAGGAAUCUUAGCGACUAAAGCGUUGAAUUGCAAAUGAUUAGAAGCCUGUAUAUAACUUAGCAUAUAUAUAUAUAUAUAUAUAUGUUCAUAUAUUUGGAGAUUUGUUUCAGAAAACACACUGUUUGUCUAAAUGCAUCCUAAUAGGAAAUCAUGUUGCAGCUUAUAGAAAUGGUGAGUACUGCUGGAUCUUGAUGGUACCUUGCGUUGUUUAAAUUGAUGGAGCUAUAACUAUAGCAGAGAAUAUAGCAUUUUGGUCUCUCAAAAACAAUUCAUCAGGUGAAAUAAACAAGAAAGAUAUGACAACGUAAUUUCUGUCAUUUUCUCAUGUAGUGUAACCUAUAUUCUCUCUCUCUCAAAAAAAAAAAAAAAAAAAAGUUACACAGAAAGGAGAAAAGGAUAUACAUGGGAUUGCAUUCAUUCUUUACAAAAUUGUCAACAGUGAAAUGAGAAGUAAGAUUGAGGAAAAUAUCUUCUCUGCAAGGGAUUCUGGGACAGCCCAUUGGAUGAUCAGAUCCAAAUUCUUCUGCCUUAUGGAGAAGCACUUGGAAUGUAGGUAGGUUCCAGUAACCUUCUGAAUAUCUGCAGCUGCUGAAACUGCUCUUGCAGUCAUAAUAGAUUUGUGGAGAAUUUAAUUUCUUAGCAUGAACAAGACCAGCUGGAAGGUGGACGACCCAUAAUUUUUUAUAGGUAAAUCUCUUCAACAGAAGAAUGAACAAGCUUGGGCAAGCUUCGGCUUGCAAAACAGAGAAAGCUUUGGAAGUAGAGAAUUUGAACACCUAUGUUGAUUGUAAUACUAGCAUACGAGUAUAUAUAGAAGGAAUGGUAUAUUUGAAUAAAUUGUGGAAGGAGUGGUAUGAAGAUAUUUGGAUAGUAGAUGCAUAUGAAUAUUUGUACAAAAAAAUGACCCACUUGAAAUCAAGAAGAUAGGAGAAACUCUUUUUGAUUUAAGAACAGUACAAAGCUCAAUAUGUACAUGCACUAGUAGCAUGCUUGAGACAUCUGAUUCUUUUCAGUCUUCUUAGCAAGGAACCAUAUAUUAGACAUGCAAGCCUAUCUAAAUAACAACUUGGUUUGAAUUGAGUCUCCCCCAGCUUGAACUCACCUGUCAAUCCUACCAAGUGAUUUGAACAUGAUUCUCUCCUGACAGAACAGAUACUGGCUCAGUUGAUGCAGAUGAAUUAUGAAUAUAUACACUCUAAAUUUUAAAUCACUGAUCGGCUCUGAUAUUAAUUAAUGUUCAGAUAAACAAUAAAGGAAUUCAAGGUAUAUUUAUAGCUGGAGGUAAAAGGAAAACAGCAGUUAACAUAUCUCCAACAGAAAUCACUGGCAAUGCGCUACUUUAGUACACCAACUAGCAAGGGACACCCUUUUGAAGAGCACAUGAAGUGUCUCCCACUACCCCCUAGGCAGUGGGAUCCAUUUUAACCACCAGAGUGCUAUUGUUACAGAUGAUGUUAUUCUAAGGAAAUGAAAUUCAAUAUUGCAAAGCAAUCCUUGAUUGAAAUUUGAGCUCUAGGUUGAGAACAGAGGAAACAGAUUAAAUCAAUGGGAAAGCAGAAAAGUAAGAGAUUCUAUUUGAUCCUUUUAUAUGAAGAGAAUUGGCUAUCAACUUUCUUUACAGAAAAAAUGUAUAAAAUAAUUUUACAAGUGGAAAUGAAACAGCCCAGUUCUCCUAAUCCAAAAAUGGAGACUGGUUUAUGAGUCAAUGGCGUUAGAGACUCUGCAUCCUAGAGCCUAGUCAUUUGCAUAUCUUUCUCCUCUCAUGGGCUGUUCAAAUAACAACUGAGAUUAAUAAAGGCUUCUUCUGUGCAUGGGAUUGUGAGACCACCCAUUGGAUGAUCAAACCCGAACUCUUCUUCAGCCUGACUCAACAGGGUCUGGAAUGCAGGAUUCUUCAAGUAUGAGAUUGGAACCACAAAUCUCUUCUUUUGGAUUUCUCCCACAUAAACAGAAAAAUAGCCUUUAGGCACAUUCUUGGACUCAGCACCCACAUGUGCCCGCUGCAGGAUCUGCUUAGCAUUAACAAUUCCAGGCAAAUGAAAACCCAUGACUUCUAUGGACUCAGAAAAGUAAAGGUAAGGAAACUGGUACUCUGAGAUCUCUUAGAAUAAGAAAAGUUUGACAGUGGGAUACCAUAUCCAUAGGAUGAGUAGAAUAUAUAUAGAGCAAGCAAAUUCUGUAUGGCCAAUAUUCUUUGGUGUUGAGAAGUCUCUAAUGUUAGGGUCCAUCUGUAGACAUUCAUGACAAGGGUUCACAUGGUUUUGCUUCCCAACUAAUAAUAUGAUUUUCAGUGGUCUUCCUUCUGAAAUUUAUUUGCUGGGAUCAUCAUGGCCUACUUCUUAACUAUCAAAACUAAUUUGAAAAGCCCACUUGAAAUUACUUGUUUAGUUAUCUGGCAAUUAAUCUGACUCUUGAUCUAUAUCAGCCAACAGGUGGGGACAAUGUUCAUUGAUGCACUAAGAAUAGCUCACCCAUAGUGUAUGUUUGAAAUUUGUUGGGGUUCUAAAAAACACAAAUUAUCAGCUCAUGUGAUGAUGUUUCUUGAAAUGAAUUAUCCAUAUAGGCAAUCAUAUUAUUUAAAGUACUUGUCAAGGUGUUAAACAACAAAGUGAAACAAAGGAAAAUGUAAUGGCAACUGGCAAGGAAUGGAUUUGAUAAUAAAACAAUGCCCGUCUCCUGUCCCCAUUUGUCCUACCAUUGGAAAUGCCUCACUCGGUUUUCAGACUCGAACAUAAUCCUUCUCAAUAGAUUCAAGUUCUAAAAUUCUGUUCAGAUGCUUUAUCAAAGAUAUAAUCAACAUUAGCACUUCUACAAACAUGCUGAUUGGUUUCUGAUGAGUUUGAAGAAUCCAAACUGUAAUAGACAUGACAAAAUGGGCACCACUUGCCUUUUAGAUGAUGUUGAAUUAUGAAGGUUCAAAGAAGGCCAUUCAUUUGAGAUUACAUUUACAUUUUGACUACUAUUUCUCUAAGCCAUCAGUUACAACAACAGGAAUAGGAUAUUCAAACUUCAAUUUAUUUAUUUAUUUUUAUUAAUAACCAUAAUCAUAAGUUGUUCUUUCCUAAGAUGUUACCGAAUAUGCCCUUAGUUGAAGAUUUAGUUUUACCAGAAUGAUAGAAACCGAAAUGUUUAAACAAAGAUUAAUAGAUUUUGAAGGGCAAAUGAAGUAACUCUCUAAAUAGAUUUGGUCUUGUGGCAAUAACUUUUACUAAAUGGCUGUCAGGGAAAGACAAAUAACAUAAGAAAAAGGUAAAGCUAUUAAAUUAAGAUGAACAAAUUUGGUUGCAAACUUGUUUUCCAGAAAAAUAGAAUAAAUAUACAUUGUUCUCUUAAGGAAAAAGAAAAAAGGAAAAAAAAAAAAAAAAAAACCAACUCAUAAUUCAAAAAUUGUUGGGUUGGUUUCUGUGGUCAAUGGUGUUAUAGAUUUGGUAUCCUCCAGGCUGAUCAUUAUGUGACUCUCCUCCUUGCUCAUGAGCAAUUCAAGCUGCAAGUUAGAUUGAGGAAGGCUUCUUCUCUGCAUGGGAUUGUGAGAUCCCCCAGUGGAUGAUCAAACCCGAACUCUUCCUCAGCCUGACUUAGCAAGUUUUGGAAUGAAGGAUGCUUCAGGUAUGAAAUUGGAAUCACAAAUCUCUUCUUCUGAGUUUCUCCAACACAGACAGGAACAUGGCCUUUAGGCACAUUUGUGGGCUCUGGAGAUGGAAAAAUGUGUCUUAGGAUCUGUUUGGCAGGAAUAAUCCUCUGAAAAUGGAUGGCCAUAAGUUUCAAACUUAGUUCUUCAAACUAAAGUGGUUGUGAGAGAAGGUUUUCUAGGUGUUUGGGAAGUAAGAAAAGCCUUGAUACCUGGUGGAUAUGCCCAUAGAAUAGAUGUAUUUAUAGAACAAAUGCAAUAAGGCCAGUUUUCUCAAAUGGAAUGAAUGAUGAAAAGACAAUUGCAAUGGGGGUCCGGGUCCCUUAAAAAAGACAUAUCACAGGGCAUCACAAGGUCUUGCCUCUGAUGCUUUCAUAUAUUUGUUGGUACAUCUUGGCCUACCAUUUAACAGAACAAACAGAGUAGCCCCACUCAAAAUUAUUAUCAUUGUAUUGCAUCCCACUGAUUAUAAUGUAUCGAAUUGAUCAUGUGGACAAAAACAUAACUAGAAGGACUAAAAUGCAGACCAGACUUCUCAUAAUAAUGGACAAAAUGCUACAAACUAUAGCAGACCACAAGUACCAGAUGUGUUAUAUAGGUUAUGACAGUACCAAAUAUCAGAGAAGACAAGUUAUCCUCUAAUGUGAUGUUUUUUGCUACCAUACAAGUAAGAAAUUAGUGCUGAGUCCGAGUCUUCAGCCUGAAUUUAGAGAGGCGAAAGAUUGAAUGGACUCAUUGAACCGACAUGGCAUAUGGUAUUAUUCAAAUGAUGCUGAUGUCUAGACUCGAACAUACCUGAUAGUGACCAAACCCUAGCAAAACAUAAAUUGGAUAAAGAAGCCUUUUAUUUCAACAGUCAAGUCAAAUAUUUCAUACCAUAUAUAUAUGGUAUUGUUCUCAUUUAGGAAAACCUGUUUUCUCUUAGAAAAGAAUUUAAGGAGGACAAAGGAGAAAAAAUGUACAUGGGAUUGCAUUUCCUUCCUUACAAAGUUGUCGUUUUUUCUUUUCAUUUCCUUUGGUAAGCACUUUUUAUACAUGCAGCCCCGUCAAACAAGAAGUAAGAUCUAGGAAAAUAUCUUCUCUGCAAGGAAUUCUGAGACCACCAUUUGAUGAUCAAAUCCAAAUUAUUCUUCUGCCUUGUGUAGUAGCUCUUGUAAUAUAGUAGCUCAAUUGUUGAAAUAUAUAUGAAGUCCUCUAACUCACUGUCCAGGGCAAAUCAAUCACAAAAUCAUAGUGCAGACCAGGUUCUGACAUGAAGUAAUGAUUCGUGAACUAAAAGAUAGUAUAGCCAGAUGCUGGAAGACAACCGAGAAAAUCAUACAAAUCCUCAUGUCUGAAUUCCCAUAAACCUGAACUAGACAAUGUAAUAUCUCUCUUCUUUCCCCUCUUGUCUGAAUUCCCCAUAAACCUGAACAUGUCCCAAGCCUUCCCUCCUAAGCAUUUUCCAUGCAUUUGAAUCAAGGAACUCAGUUGCAAGACUCCAUGUAUCACAUCUGUAAUGGGACACACCGCAUUGGAAUUCAUCUGUUUAUCUAGCUUAUAGAUCAGUUCAUCUCCAAAAUUUGAGAAACAUUAGCUCCUCAAGGCUUUAUCCUCCACCUCAUAGACGGUAAUUGCAAAGGUGUAUAUGUACAUAAUAUGCCCUGCCGUUUAUUAGAGAACUAUGAAAAAAGGAUCCACUUGAAACCCCAGAUAUGGAGAAACCUCUUGUUGAUUUAAGAACAGUACAAGCUCAAUCUAUUCAUGCAUUAGAGGCAUGCCUGAGAAAAUCUAAUUCCUUUCUGUCUUCUUGGGGAGGAGACAGAAUGGGGACUUCAUUGGCCACAUGGGUAACUUUCUUAUUACUAUUCACUUAAUUUCAUAGGUGCUGCCAUCCCACAUUAGACCAUUCAUAGCUAUGUAAAUAACAAUUCAUUUUCGACUGAGUUCUCAAUAGCUUGACCUCAAAUAGAUUGAAUUUUUUUCAUAUAUAUAUUUUUUUUAGAAAAAAAAACUGGGUUUUGAAUCUUUAACCAAAUCCAUAUACUCGGAAUAGAUUCAGAAUUUAAUUGAAUAGAUGUAUCUAGGGAGAAUUCACUUUGAAGCGACUAUUCCCUAGAUACACAUGCGGGAUAUUUUAUUUCACAAUUAAAUCAAUUUAAAUUUUAAAAAGACCUAAAGUUAGGGAUUUAUCAAUAGGUAAUGUUGCUCCAAUACCCAAUAAAAAAAAACGGUUGUCGCUACUGGACGACGAAAUGGAUUUUGGAAUUUAUUAACAUUUUCCAAAAAAACCUUUCAAUCCAACCAAAAAAUUGUGACACAAAAAUGACCGAGUAGUGUUAAGAGUAGAAUACAAGGGAAUGGCAUGGAAAAAAGUCAAAGUCAAAAGAAAUCCUUCAUAUUCUUUAUGUGAAGCUCAAAACAGAGAUCAUUGCUGUCAUGUGGCAUCCCAGUUUUCAUUUGCUUGGAAUUGUUAUUAGAAAAAGCGACCCUUCAUAUUGAAUUUGGAUAAUCUUUCUAGGAGGCCUUCAAAUUUGAGUCGGAGAAACACAUGGACAAGGACAUCUGAAUAAUAUGAUUGCCUAUAUGGCUAAUUUAUUCCAAGAAACACCAUCACAGGAACUGAUGAUGAUUUGUGUCUCAAUCUUAUUGUCUGCUAAUGUCAUAAGAAAUGAAUUACUGGUAAUUUUCGUGUUUAUCAGAACACCAACAAGCUUCAGACAUACAUCACUGGAAGGCUAUGGUUAGCCAAAUGAAUGUAGUCCCUACAAGUUGGUUGAAAUAGCAAACAGUUUCAAGUGGGCUUCUCCAGUUUGUUCUGCUAAAUUUAAGCAGUAGGCCAUGACAAGUCGUCAUUCAAUAAAUUUUCAGGAUUAAGACCACCAAAAUCUUAUUAUUAGUUGGUAGGCAAAGCCAUGUGAUCCCUUGUGUUGAAUGUCCACAGAUGGACCCUAUCAAGGACUUCUAUUCACACCAACUCCAUCUGAGAAUACUGGCCAUACAGAACAUGCUUCCUCUAUAUAUAUUCUACUCAUCAUAGGGAUAUGGCAUCCCACUGCCAAAGAUAUCUUUUUCUAACACAUAAGAGUACCAUUUUCCCUACCAUUACUUUUCUCUGAUCAUACGCUUCAUGGGUUUUCGCUUGCCUGGGAUUGUUAAUGCUAAGAAAACCCUGCAGCAAGAGCGCAAGGGUGCAGAGGCCAAAAAUGUACCAAAAGGCUAUUUUGCUGUUUAUGUGGGAGAAGUUCAGAAGAAGCGAUUUGUAGUUCCAAUCUCAUACUUGAAGAACCCUUUAUUCCAGAACUUGUUGAGUCAGGCUGAAGAAGAGUUCGGGUUUGAUCAUCCAAUGGGCGGUCUCACAAUCCCCUGCACAGAAGAAGCCUUUAUUAAUCUUACUUGCAGUUUGAACUGCUCAUGAGAGGAGAGGAAGAUAUGCAAAUGGCUAGUCAGUAGGACAUGUAAUUUCUAACACCACUGACUUGAAAUCCAGUCUCUCCAAUUUUGAAUUAGGAGAACUGGGUUGUUUCAUUCCCACUCGUUGUAACUUAUUCUAUACAAUUUUAGUCAAAUUUCUCCAUACAUAACAUUCAAACAGAAUCUUUGUUUUUCUUCUUUUCUCAUUGAUUUUGCUUCCCCUGGUCUCCUUGUAUAAGUAGUCACCAUGGAUAUGCACAUAAAUUUAAGAGAAACAAAAAAUCCCAGAAGUUUAGGCUUUCUUGAUGACUUUUAGCUCCUUCACUGCAGAUACUGAUGUGCAUAUGCCUGUCAUAAAUAUUUGGGCAGAAUAUGGUCACUUUCCACUUACGUCAACCAAAAUCUAAACCUUCAGUCCAGGAGUUGCUUUUCAAUUAUGGUCAGUGAAUAGACCCGCUGUAGGCGUUGGGGUCUUGUUUCUUCCUUUCUUUUUAUCAUCAUCAUCUCAUUUUCCCCAUUCGUUGCAGCUAUUAAAGCUAGAGGCUUAGCUUACUCUAUUCAAGACUAUAUUUGAAAACUAUUUUCAGUUCAACCAGACAUUAUCGAUUUUGAUAUUUUGCAAUGCAGUUUUACCAUAUAUACUGUAACCUUGAUGGGGUUAGGCCUGUUUUUCUUCCUACUUCUGUUCAGCAUCAUUGAAUAAAAAGGCAACAAAAAUUAGGGAAAAGUAGCAAGCUGCCAGGUUGUCAUUUCCUAGUGAUAAUAUAAUCCAUUCGACUUGCACCCUGGUAUUAAAAAUGGUCCAACUGUGAGUGGAACUAGUAGGAAUCAUUUCAUGUGCUCUUCACAAGGGUCCGUUGCAAGCUGUUGUACUAAAGCAGCUCACUGCCAGUGAUUUAUGUUGAUGACAUGUUAACAGCAGCUUUACUUUUUCAUUCAGCUGAGAUAUACCUUGAAUAUAUUUGAUUUUCAUGUUUGUUAUGGUUUAUGUUCAAUGUUUAUUUCCAUAUGGGUUGUUCUUUUAUGGUUCUUAAUCGACAAUAGGCUUCUCCUGUCUGCACAUCUUGGAUUUGGAGUGGGUCCCCUCCAAGAAAUGGUAGGGCAUCAUGUGUUUCAACAUUAUGGUAGGUCCCCUUCAGAAGGUCUUGUGUCUCAAAAGAAAAGUUCCCUGCCCUUUCAUCUAUAUAUACACUCAAUCUUAAAUUUGAAAUCAUAAGUCUUUGAUUGUCUACCACCAAAGAUUUAAUUCCUUCAUCCUACAUUUCCCCUAAAAUCUUUUUCUUGUUUUUUUACUAUAGAUAUAUUUGCAAUCUCCCCUAUAAAUCAUGGGCAUCUAUCAAAGAUCUGUGUGUUGAACACACUAUUCAAAUAGAGGAUCAGAGACAGUUCUGAAAUUGAAGAAACAAAUUAUCAAUUUAUCAUUCCUUUUCUUCUCAUCUCUUUAAGAACCACUUGACUAAAUCUUACCAGAAGAAAUUGGGAAGCUGAAAGCUAGACAUUUGAGGAUUUGAGAUGGAAAAAAUUUACAAUAUUGUAAGGUUUUCUACAUAGGAAGAAAUGAAUCUUUUUGUUCCCUCAGGUUAAGCUUGAGGCCAAGGGCGCUUGGUGUGCCUGCAAUAUGCUGCAAGUCAAACACUUGUGAGGCAGUUGGCUUCACGACACAAGGAUUAACCAAUAAAUUUGUUUAGGAUUUUGGGGAGCAUAUGUUUCAAACCAAGAAUGCCCACUUUAUGAAUAACAGAUGCUUUGUAUUUGGACUUGGAAUUCCUGAAGUUCCAUAGGCAUAUAAGUGCUAUAAGCCUAUAGUUUCCCUGUUUACCAACAAAAUGCUAUGUUCUUCCUUUUUCAAUAAGUACUGAUAGUAUUAAUUCUUCUAAAAGUUUCUAAGUCGUCAGUAGACGGCUAGUGUUUGUCCUUCAACAUGGCAGUGAAACAAAUCCCCAAUUAUUUGUACUACACCAUCUAAUGGAUAAGCUAUCUUUUGAAAGAUAUAAUGUGAUGGCCACGCAAUUAACUCAAAGCCAGAGAUAUCUAGGCUUCUAAUUAUUUGAAAUUUGACAAGUGUCACUAAGAUUCUUCAUCUCAGAAUCCAAAUAUUUAGGUUCCUGAUGGUUGUGUGUUGCCUCACAAUUGAAACAUUUGAGUUUGACCACUGCAAUAAAAGACUUUAUCCAAUUCAUCAUUUUCAGGGGUUUGGUGAUUCUAGUUGAUUUGGGUAUAGACAUAAACAUCAUAGAACCAUACCAUAUGUUAUGUUGGUAUGGUGCCUCUGUUCAGUCUUUCAUCUCCCAAAUUCUGGCUGAAGGUUGUAUUUGUUAAAAUCUGGAGAAAAAUAAGGAACUAAAACUUGCAGAAAAUAUUAGAGUACUGAGUUGGAGAAAGGCACACAAAUAUUUCACCAAUGAGAAUGCCUAUUUAUAGGCUUACAACCAAACUGAAAAUACUAAAAACUCUCAGCUGCUAUGACUACUUCUACUAACAGAAAAACUGAAAAUUAUGGAGCAAAACAGAGACUGAGUCUAACUAAGACAUUUUCAAAGGCAAACUCUCAUGAAUUCUAACAGUAUUCGGCCCCAGAUCCUCACUUGUCUGCUCUAAUAUUCAGCAGGGGUGGCCUGCUAUAGUUUGAAGCAUUUUGUCCUUGAAUACAAGAAACCUGGUCUAUAAGUUAGUCCCUGAAGUUAGGCUUUUAUCCAAAUUAUCAGUAGGAGAUAAAUUGCAUCAGUCGGAUGCAUCACAAAAAUAAUAAUUUCAAGUGGGCCUCUGCUGUUUGUUCUGUUAAGUGGUAAGCCACAAUGAACCAGAAAAUAUAUCACAAUAUGAAUGCUAUCAGAAUCUUAUUAUUUGUUGGGAGGGCAAACCAUGUGACUCUUUGUGAGUUAUCUCCUUUAAGGGACCCCAUUGCAGGAGCCUCUUCAUCACUCAUUCCACUUGAAAAUACUGACCAUACAGCAUUUGCUCUAUAAAUAUACCUACUCUAUGGGCAUAGAUCCACCAAGGUUCAAAGCUUUCUUAUAUUCUAAAAUCUUUGAAAUCCUUUCCCACCAUCACUUUUUGAGAAACCAAAUUUGAAACUCAUGGCCAUCCGUUUUCAGAGGAUUAUUCCUGCCAAGCAGAUCCUGAGACGCAUUCUUCCAUCUUUGGAGUCCACAAAUGUGCCAAAAGGCCAUGUUCCUGUCUAUGUUGGAGAAACUCAGAAGAAGAGAUUUGUGAUUCCAAUUUCAUACUUGAAGCAUCCUUCAUUCCAAAACUUGCUAAGUCAGGCUGAGGAAGAGUUCGGGUUUGAUCAUCCACUGGGUGGCCUCACUAUCCCAUGCAGAGAAGAAGCCUUCAUUGAUCUAACUUACAGUUUGAACUGCUCAUGAGCAAGGAGGAAGAUCUCAAAAUGGAUGGCUUCAAGCUCUCGUCUCUCUAACACCACUUACCCCAAAAUCCAGUCCCAACAAUUUUGUAUUACUGAGAAAAAGGUCUUUUUGAAGUGACAACGAUAUAGUUUUCUUCUAUUUUUCUGUAAAGCAAUUAGUUGACAGUCAAAUGUCUUCAUCUUAAUCACACAGAAAUAACCAUGUUCCUUUCUCUUCUUUUCAAAAGAAAGCAUGUUGUUUCUUUUCUCCCUUGUGAUUCCUCACUAGCCAAGAAGAUGUUUCAUUUUCUCAGUUUUUCGUCUUUCCAUUACAUCCAUCCAACAAUUGGCUUCUCCUUAUGUGUAAAGCACCAUCAUUCUAAUUUGUAAAACACCCAGCUCUGACAUUGAAAUAAAACUUCAGAUAAACAUGAAAGACGUAAGCUGCCAUCAACAUGAAAAGUAGAGAUAUAUUCAAGGAAUAUUCACAGCUGGAGGCAAAAGGGAGAACAGUAGUUAACAUUGGAAGUGAGAUACUUUAGUACACCAACUUGCAAGGCACACUCUCAUGAAGAGCACAUGAAGUGCCUCCUACUAGGCCCAAGGCAGUAGAAUCCAUUUUAAAACACAAGAUCAUUGGUUGCAGUGUUGACUUGGAAAAGUUGAAUCAUUAACAUGGCCCUUCCUCAUCUCUCUCUUUCAAUUUUUGUUGAAUAAAACUGAAUGAACGACUUAGCCCCGUGAAGAUCAAUUAAAUAUGGUAAAUAUUUAUAUAUAACUUGUAUCAACUCACUCUUACUAAUCAUGGACAUAUUAUCCAUUUUGGGACUAAAGUACCCUUAUGGUUUUAAAAUAGAUAUAGAGGAUUAAGAGUUCAUAUAUAUAUAUAUAUAUAACAUAAAAACCUUUUCCCCUAUCUGAUAUAAGAUAUUACAAUGACCCUCCAUAUAGAUACAAUAUUUUAAUUUGUUAUAUCUCGUGGGAUUAUGGGGCCAAACAAACAAACAUUCCUUGCGAAACCAAACAAACUCUCACACAAGGAUUAGGGAUCGACUCUAAUACUAUUUGUAACACCUAUUUCUAAUUGUAUAAAUAUCAUCCACUCUACACCCAAGGAACCCUUAGGGUUUUAAAACACAUUUGUAUGAUUGAGAGGAGCUCAUACAUAGAUAGUAUUAGGGAAAAAGUUUUCCUUGUUUGAUGUCGAAUAUCAAUAUCCUAUAUUAUUAUCAUUAUAUCGAUCCCACAAAAUUGUAGAACCAAACAAACAAAUACCCCUUACUCUUAAUCAUGUAAAUAUUAUCCACUUUGCACCGUAAAUACUCUCAUGACUUUAAAACGUGUCUACAAGAUUAAAAGUAAUCUAUACAUAUAUAGCACCAAGAAUUUUUUUUCCCAUUCAAUGUGGGAUAUCACAACCCCCUCCUCCAUAUAAAUACAAUGUUCUUGUGGGGCCAAACAAACUUCUACAUCUUAUGGGGCCAAACAAACUUCUACAUCAAGGUCAAGAAUAAACUCUAAUACCAUUUGUAAUUACUCACUCCUAAUUGUGUAGGUAUUGUCUGCUCUAGACUAAGACCCUUAUGACUUUAAACGCAUUUAUAGGAUUAAGAAGAGUCCAUACAAAUAUAACGUCAAGAACUUUUUUCAUUAUCCAAUGUGGGUUAUUACAACCAUCUCACCUCCCAUGCAAGCACAACAUUAUCUUUAAGUCCCAUGAGAUUACAAGGCUGAGCAAACAGACAACCCUUCUCUUGUCCCCAGUUGUCCUACCCUUGGAAAUGUUUCCACCCAGUUUUCAGUUUCAAACAUAAUCCUAUUUCUAUCCUUCUCCAUGGAUUCAAGUUCUAAAAUUCUGUCUGGGUGCUUUAUCAAAGAUGCAAUCAACAUUAGCACUUCUCUAAACAUGUAGAUUGGUUUUUGAUGAUUUUGAAGAAUCCAAACUGUAAUAGACAAGAUAAAAUGGGCACCACUUGUCUUUAAGGUUCAAAGAAGGCCAUUCAUUUGAAAUUACAUUUACAUUUACAUUUACAUAUACAUUUGAAAUCACUUCUUUUAGAUGACUACUAUUUCUACAUCAAUUACAACAAUAGGAAUAGGAUACCAAAACUAGAAAUCUUUUUAUUAAUAACCAUAAUCAUAAGUUGUUCUUUCGUGAAAUGAUGCUGAAUUUUCUCUUAGUUGAAGAUUUAGCCUUACUAGAAUGAUAGAAUCCAAAAUAUUUAAACAAGGCACGAUGGAUUUUAAUGGAGUAAGCCUUUAAAUAGAUUUGUUUUCGUUGAUAAGCUGCAAAUGGGUACUGGAAACUUAUGGCAGUAACAUUUACUAAAUGGCUGCCAGAGGAUGACAAAUAACAUAAGAAAAAGGUAAAGCUAUGCAAUUAAGAUGAACAAAUUUGGUUUUCAAUUUGUUUUGAGAAAAAUAGAAUAAAUUUACAUUGUUCUCUUGAGGAAAAAAGAACCCAACUCAUAAUUCAAAAAUUGUUGGGUUGGUUUCUGUGGUCAAUGGUGUGACAGAUUUGGUAUCCUUCAGGCUGGUCAUUAUGUGACUUUCCUCCUUGCUCAUGAGCAAUUCAAGCCACAAGUUAGAUUGAUGAAGGCUUCUUCUCUGCAUGGGAUUGUAAGUCCACCCAGUGGAUGAUCAAACCCGAACUCUUCCUCAGCCUGACUUAGCAAGUUUUGGAAUGAAGGAUGCUUCAGGUAUGAAAUUGGAAUCACAAAUCUCUUCUUUUGAGUUUCUCCAACGUAGACAGGAACAUAGCCUUUGGGCACAUUUGUGGGCUCUGGAGAUGGAAGAAUGCGUCUCAGGAUCUGCUUGGCAGGAAUAAUCCUCUGAAAACGGAUAGCCAUGAGUUUCAAACUUAGUUCUUCAAACCAAAGUGGUUGAGAGAAAUGGAUUUCUAGAUGUUUGGGAAGCAAGAAAAGCUUUGAUACCUGGUUGUUGUGGCCAUAGAAUAGAUGUAUUUAUAGAACAAAUGCAAUAAGGCCAGUUUUCUCAAAUGCAAUGAAUGGUGGAAAGACAAUUGCAAUGGGGGUCCCUUAAAGAAGAUAUAUCACAGGUCAUCACAUGGUCUUGUCUCUGAUGCUUUCAUGUAUUUGUUGGUACAUCUUGGCCUACCAUUUAACAGAACAAACAGCAUAGCCCUACCCAAAAUUAUCAUCAUUGUAUUGCAUCCCACUGAUUAUAAUGAAUCGAAUUGAUCAUGUGGACAAAAACAUAACUUGAAGGACUAAAAUGCAGACCAGACUUCUCAUAUUAAUGGACAAAAUGCUACAAACUAUAGCAGACCACAAGUACCAGAUGUGUUAUAGGUUAUGACAGUACCAAAUAUAAGAGCAGACAAGUUAUCUUCUAAUGUGAUGUUUUUUGCUACCGUACAAGUGCGAAAUUGGUGCUGAGUCCGAGUCUUCAGCCUGAAUUUAGAGAGGUGACAGAUUGAGUGAACUCAUUGAACCGACAUCAUCAUUCAAACGAUGCUUAUGUCACGACUCAAACCUACCUGAUAUCGACCAAACCCUAGAAAAACAUGAAUUGGAUAAAGAAGCCUUUUAUUUCAACAGUCAAGUAAAAUAUUUUGUGCCAUAUAUGUAUGGUAUUGUUCUCAUGAAGGAAAACCUGUUUUCUCUUAGAAAAGAAUUUUUAUAAAGGGCCAAGAAAAAAAUGUACAUGGAAUUGCAUUUCCUUCCUUACAAAGUCAUUGGUGUUUUUUCUUUUUAUUUUCUUUUGUAAGCUCUUUUAAUACAUGUAGCCCAUUCAAAUGUGAAGUAAGGUCGAGGAAGAUAUCUUCUCUGCAAGAAAUUCUGAGACCACCCAUUGGAUGAUCAAAUCCAAAUUAAUCUUCUGCCAUAUGUAGUAGCUCUUGGAAUGUAGUUGCCCAAUUGUUGAAAUAUAUCAUGUCCUCUAACUCACUGUCCAGUGCAAAUCAAUCCCAAAAUCAUAUUGCGGUCCAGGUUCUGACAUGAAGUAAUGAUUCAUGAACUAAAAUAGAACAUGGCCAGAUGCUGGAAGACAACCAAAAACUCGUACAAAUCCUCAUGCUUCUCCUAUUUCAACCAUUGGUUAGACAGGGUAAUGUCUUUCUCUUCCCUCCUGUCUGAAUUCCCAUAAAACUGAACAUAUGCUUAGCCUUCCCUCUUAAGCACUUUUCAUGCAUUUCAAUCAAGGAACUCAGUUGAAAGACUCCAUGUAUCACAGUAGUAAAUGGACAGACCACAGUGGAAUUCAUAUGUUUAUCUGGCUUACGGACCAGUUCAUCUCUGAAAAACGAGAAACAUUAGCUCCUGAAGGCUUUAUCAUCCACCCCCCAGGUGGUAAUUGCAAAUGUGUAUAUGUACACAAUAUGCCCUGCCAUUUAUUAGAGAACUACCAAAAAAAGACCACUUGAAAUCCCAGAGAUGGAGAAACCUCUUGUCGAUUUAAGAACUGUACAAAAGCUCAAUCUGUAUGUGCAUUAGAGGCAUGCCUGAGAAAUCUAAUUCCUUUCUGUCUUCAUGGGGAGGAGACACAAUGGGGACUUCAUUGGCCACAUUGAUAACUUGGCUAUUACCAUUCACUUAAUUACAGAGGUGCUGACAUCCCAUAUUAGACCCUUCAAAGCUAUGUAAUAACAAUUCAUUUUCACAGCUUGAACUUACCUUUCAAUCCAAUGACAGACUCGAACAUGAUUCUCUCCUGACAAAACAGAUACUGGCUUAGUUGAUAUGGAUGUAUUAUUAUCAUUUAGGCAUUUUGCUUUUUCCAUUUCCAAACAAAGAAACUGUGAAACAGCAAUGGCCAAGUUUCUGAGUGUUAAGAGGAGAAUACAAGGGAAUGGCAUGGUUUUUUUUUUUUCUCCAAAAAACAAAGUCAAAGUCAAAGAAAUCCUUCAUAUUCUUUAUGUGAAGCUGAAAACAGAGAUCCAUUGCUGUCAUAUGACAUCCCAGUUUUCAUUUGCUUGGAAUGUUAUCAGAAAGGGCGACCCUUCAUAUGGAAUUUGGAUAAUCUCUCUUGGAGCCCUUCAAACUUAACGACUAGAAGAAACACAUUGACAAGGACAUCUGAAUAAUAUGAUUUCCUUUAUGGAUAAUUUAUUGCAGGCAACAUCAUAACAUGAACUGAUGAUUUGUGAUUCAAUGUUAUUGUCUGAUAAUGUCAAAAGAAAUGAAUUAGUGGUAGUUUUUGUGUUUAUCAGAACACAAACAAGCUUCAGACAUUUAUCACUGGAAGGCUAUGGUUAGCCAAAUGAAUAUAGUCCCUACCAGUUGGUUGAAACAGCUAACAUUUUCAAGUGGGCUCCUCAAGUUUGUUCUGAUAAUUUUAAGCAGCAGGCCAUGACGAGUUGCAGCAAAUAAAUUUUUGGUAGUAAGACCACCGAAAUCUUAUUAUUAGUUGGUAGGCAAAACCAUGUGAUCCCUUGUGUUGAAUGUCCAUAUAUGGACCCUAUCAAAGACUUCUCUUCACACCAACCCCAUUUGAGAAACUGGCCAUACAGAAUUUGCUUGCACUAUAUAUAUUCUACUCAUCCUAAGGAUAUGGCAUUCCACUGCCAAAGUUUUCUUAUUCUAGCACAUCUCAGAGUACCAUUUUACUUACCAUUAAUUUUCUCUGAUCAUACAAGUCAUGGGUUUUCGCUUGCCUGGGAUUGUUAAUGCAAAGCAAGUCGUGCAGCAAGUGUGCAAGGGUGCAGAGGCCAAAAAUGUACCAAAAGGCUAUUUUGCUGUUUAUGUGGGAGAAGUUCAAAAGAAGCGAUUUGUGGUUCCAAUCUCAUACUUGAAGAACCCUUCAUUCCAGAACUUGUUGAGUCAGGCUGAAGAAGAGUUCGGGCUUGAUCAUCCAAUGGGUGGUCUCACAAUCCCCUGCACAGAAGAAGCCUUUAUUGAUCUUACUAGUAGUUGGAACUGCUCAUGAGAGGGGAAGAAGUUAUGCAAAUGGCUAGUCAGUAGGACAUGUAAUUUCUAACGCCAUUGACUUGUAAUCCAGUCUCUCCAAUUUUGAGUUAGGAGAACUGGGUUGUUUCAUUUCCACAAAUUGUAAAUUGUUCUAUACAUUUUUCUGUAUAGAAAGUUGAGAGUCAAAUCUCUCUACAACAAAACAUUCAAACAGAAUCUCUUGGUUUUCCUCUUUCUCAUUGAUUUUGUUUCCCCUGGUCUUCUUAUAUAAAUAGUCACCAUGUAUAUGCACAUCAAAUUUGAGAAGAGUAACAAAAAAAUCCUAGAAGCUAAGGCCUGCUUGAUGGUUUUUAGCUCCUUCACUGCAGAUACUGAUGUGCAUAGACCUGUCGUAAAUGUUUGGGCAGAAUAUGUUCAUUUUCCAUUUACUUCAACCAAAAGCUAAAUCUUCAGUCCAGGAGUUGCUUUUCAAUUACCAUGGUCAGUGAAGCAUUGGGAUCUUGUUUCUUCCUUUCUUUUUAUCUUCGAUUUUCUCGUUUUCCCCAUUCCUCGUAGCUAGCCAGAGUCUCAGCUUACUCUGUUCAAGACUAUAUUUGGAAACUAGUUACAGAUCAACCAGUUAAUAUAGAUUUUGAUAUUUUGCAAUGCAGUUUUACCAUAUAUACUGUAACUUUGAUGGGGUUAGGCCAGUUUUUCUUCCUACUUCUGUUCAGCAUCAUUGAAUAAAAAGGCAACAAAAAUUAGGGAAAAGUAGCAGAGCUGCUGAGUUGUCAUUUCAUAGUGAUAAUAUCAUCCAUUAGACUUGCACCCAGGUAUUAAAAUUAGUCCAACUGCUAGUGGAACUACUAGGAAACACUUCAUGUGCUCUUUACAAGGGUCUGUUGCAAGCUGGUGUACUAAAGCAGGUCGGUGCCAGUGAUUUUUGUUGAUGUCAUGUUGUUAACAGCAGCUUUACUUUUUCAUUCAGCUGAGAUAUACCUUGAAUAUAUGUCAUUUUCAUGCUUUUUACAGUUUGUUCCAUGUUUAUUUUCAUGAUCUAACAUAGGAUGAUAGUAACCAUAUACACGUUGUUCUUGUACAGUUCUUAAAUUGACAAUAGGCUUCUCCUGUUAGUAACUCUUGGAUUUGGAGUAGCACCUGUAUGGGUGGUUCUCUAAGAAAUGGUACGGCAUCAUACGUUGAACAUUAUGAAUAGGAAGGCGAAGCUGCAUGAUCCGUCAGAAAGUGUUGUCUCUCAAAAGAAAAGUUCCCAACCCUUUGAUCUAUAGAUACACUCAAUCUCAUAUUUAAAACCCACACAAGUCUUUGACAUUGUCUACCACCAAAGCUUUAAUUCCUUUAUCCUACAAUUCCCCCAAAAUCAUUUUCUUGUUCUUUUUCUGUAGAUAUAUAUGUUGUCUCCACUAUAAAUCAUGGACUUUUCGAUUUAUGAUUCUAUUUCUUUUCAUCUCUUAAAGAACCUCUUGACCAACUCUUACCAGAAGAACUUGGGAAGCUGAAAGCUAGUCAUUUGAGGAUUUGGGAUGAAAACAAGUUACAAUAUUGCAAGGUUUUCUACAUAAGGGAAAAAUGAAUCUUUGUUCCCUCAGGUUAAACUUGAGGCCAAGGGAUCUUUGUGUACUUGCUAUAUGCUGCAAGUCAACACUUGUGAGGCAGUUGGGUGCAUGCAACUACGAAUAACCAAUAAGCCUAUUGUUUUCCCUGCUUACAUAUCAAAUGCUAAGUUCUCUCUUUCCUUUUCCUAGAAAUACUGGCAGUAUUGAUUCUUCUAAAAGUCACUAAAUCUUCAGUAGACGGCUUGUUUUGUCCUUCAACAUGGCAGUGAAACAAAUCCCCUAUCAUAUAACUACACCAUCUAAUGGAUAAGCUAUCUUUUGGAGGAUAUAAUGUGAUGGUCAUACAAAUAACUCAAAGCCAGAGAUAUCUAGGCUUUUAAUCAUUUAUCAUUUGACAAGUGUCACACUAAGAUUCCUCAUCUCAGUUGCCAAAUAUUUAGGUUGCUGAUGGUUGUGUGUUGCAUCACAAUUGAAACAUAUGAGUUUGACCACCGCAAUGAAAGACUUUAUCUGAUUCAUGGUCUUCUGGGGUUGGUGAAUCUGCUUGAUUUGUGUCUAGACAUAGACAUCAUAGAACAAUAGCAUAUGAUAUGUUGGUAUGGUGCUUCUGUUCAAUCUUUCAUUCCCCUGAAAUUCUGGCUGAAACUCGUACUCGGCACCAACUCCUCACUCGGAUGUAACAAGAAACAUCAUCGCGUUAGAAGAUAACUUGUCUACUCAGAUGUUCAACAGGGGUGGCCUGCUAUAUUUUGAAGCAUUUUGUACUUGAAUAUAAGAAAUCUGGUCUCUGAGUUAGUCCCUGAAGUUAGGCUUUUAUCCAAAUUAUCAGAGGGAUAUACAUUGCAAUCAGUCGGAUGCAUUACAAUAAUAAUAAUUUCAAGUGGGACUAUGCUGCUUGUUCUGUUGAGUGGCAGGCCACAAUGAACCAGCAAUUACAUCACAGUAGGAAUGCUAUCAAAAUCUUAUUAUUAGUUGGGAAGCAAAACCAUGUGACUCUUUGUGAGUUAUCUCCUUUAAGGGACCCCAUUGCAGUAGUCUCUUCAUCACUCAUUCCACUUGAGAAUACUGACCAUACAACAUUUUCUCUUUAAAUAUACCUACUCUGUGGGCAUACAUCCCCCAAGUUUCAAAGCAUUCUUAUAUUCCGAAAUCUUUGAAAUCCUUUCCCACCAUCACUUUUUGAGAAACUAAAUUUGAAACUCAUGGCAAUCCGUUUUCAGAGGAUUAUUCCUGCCAAGCAGAUCCUGAGACGCAUUCUUCCAUCUUUGGAGUCCACAAAUGUGCCGAAAGGCCAUGUUCCUGUCUAUGUUGGAGAAACUCAGAAGAAGAGAUUUGUGAUUCCAAUUUCAUACUUGAAGCAUCCUUCAUUCCAAAACUUGCUAAGUCAGGCUGAGGAAGAGUUUGGGUUUGAUCAUCCACUGGGUGGCCUCACAAUCCCAUGCAGAGAAGAAGCCUUCAUUGAUCUAACUUGCAGUUUGAACUGCUCAUGAGCAAGGAGAAAGAUCUCAAAAUGGCCGGCCUCAAGCACUCUCAUCUCUAACACCACUGACAACAAUUUUGUAUCAUUGCGAAAUAGGUCUUUUUGAAGUGAAAACAAUGUAAAUUUCUUCUAUUUUUUUCUGUAAAGCAGGUUGACAGUCAAAUGUCUUCAUCUUAAUCACACAGAAAUAACUAUGUUCCUUUUUCUUUCUUUUCUCCCUUGUGAUUCCUUAUUAGCCAAAAAGAAGUUUCAUUUUUUCAGUUUUCGGUCUUUCUAUUACAUCCAUGCAACAGUUUGCUUCUCCCUCUGUGUAACGCACCAUCAUUCUAAAUUGUAAAACACUUAGCUCUGAUAUUGAAUUAAAAGUUCAGAUAAACAAGAAAGAUAUAAGCUGUAAUCAACAUGAAAAGUAGAAGACAUUCCAGGAAUAUUCACAGCUGGAAGCCAGAGGGAGAACAACAGUUAACAUGUCCCCAACAAAAAUCACUGGCAUUGAGCUACUUUAGUACAUCAACUUGCAAGGAACACUCUCACAUGAAGUGCCUCCUACUAGGGCCCAAGGCAGUAGAAUCCAUUUUAAAACAUAAGAUCAUUGGUUGCAGUGUUAAAUUGGAAAAUUUGAAUUAUUUUAAAACACAAGUGCCUCAUCUCUCUCUCUCUCUCUCUCUCUCUCUCUCUCUUCCAUUUUUUUUUUAUUAAAAUUAAGGAACAGGCUUAGCCCCAUGAAGAUCAGGUAAAUAUGGUAAAUAUGUAUAUAUAACCACUUUGAGAGACACAUUCAAAUGCUUUCAAUGCUAAUCAGAAAAAGUCAGAAAAGAUAAGGUUAUCAUCAAUAUAAACAAUUGCAGAGAAUGUAUACCAAUUAAAUGUCAUUUAUAAUAUUUAGGAAUUCCAAGGCAAUCAAAUUCUAUUCAUAAUGUCCAAGACAUACUGUGAAUGUUAUUUUAUCAUCUAUGUAUGGUAAUUGAACAAGUCUUUGAUUGAAGGUUUAGCUUUAGGUUUGCUUUGAGUGGUAAACUAAACAUUAUGACUCCCAAAUGGUUUAUUUAUCAAACCUUUGCUCAAAUUUUUGUGUUUUGGAUUGCUCAACUCAAAUUUUUUAGCUAUCUGGUAAUCUGAUCUAUAUCAACCAACAAGUGGGAACUAUAUUCAUUGAUCUACUAAGCAUAGCUCACCCAUAGCAUAUGAUAGAAACUUGUUGGUGUUCUAAAAAAAACAAAUUAUGAGCUCAUGUGAUGAUGUUGCUUGAAAUAAAUUUUCCAUAGGGGAAAUCACGUUGUUCAAAGUCCUUGUCAAGGUAUUAAACAACAAAGAUAAACAAAGGAAAAUGUAAUGGCUACCGGCAAGGAAUGGAUAUUGAUAAUAAAACAAUGCCCUUCUCCUGUCCCCAUUUGUCCUACCAUUGGAAAUGCCUCUACUUGGUUUUCAGAUUCAAACAUAAUCCUGUUUCUAUCCUUCUCCAUAGAUUCAAGUUCUAAAAUUCUGUCUAGAUGCUCAAUCAAAGAUAUAAAUCAACAUUGGCACUUCUUUAAGCAUGUCAAUUGGUUUCUGAUGAGCAUUAAAGCUCCAAAAUGGGCACCACUUUGAAUUAGGAAGGUUCAAAGAAGGCCAUUCAUUUGAAAUUACAUUUACAUUUUGACUACUAUUUCUAAUCCAUCAAUUACAACAACAAGAAUAGGAUACUAAAACUUGAUAUGUUUUUAUGAAUAACAAUCAUCAUAAGUUGUCCUUUCUUGAAAGUUGCUGAAUAUGGCCUUACCAGAAUAAUAGAAUCCAAAAUAUUUAAACUAAGUAGAUUUGGUUUCAUUGGACACUGGAAACUUAUGGCAAUAACUUUUACUAAAUGGCUGCCUGAGAAAGACAAAUAGCAUAAAAAAUAAGUUAAAGCUAAGCAAUUAAGAUGAACAAAUUUGAUUGUCAACUUUUCCAGAAAAAUGGAAUAAAUUUACAUUGUUCUCAAGACCAAAAAAGAAAAAAGAAAAAAACCCAACUCAUAAAUUCAAAAAUGCUGGGUUGGUUUUUGUGGUCAAUGGUGUCAUAGCUUUGGUAUCCUUGAGCCUGGUCAUUAUAUGAUUUUCCUCCUUGCUCAUGAGCAAUUCAAGCUGUAAGUUAGAUUGAUGAAGGCUUCUUCUCUGCAUGGGAUUGUGAGUCCACCCAGUGGAUGAUCAAACCCGAACUCUUCCUCAGCCUGACUUAGCAAGUUUUGGAAUGAAUGAUGCUUCAGGUAUGAAAUUGGAAUCACAAAUCUCUUCUUCUGAGUUUCUCCAACAUAGACAGGAACAUAGCCUUUGGGCACAUUUGUGGGCUCUGGAGAUGGAAGAAUGCGUCUCAGGAUCUGCUUGGCAGGAAUAAUCCUCUGAAAACGGAUGGCCAUGAAUUUCAAGCUUAGUUCUACAAACUAAAGUAGUUGAAAGAAAUGGAUUUCUAGAUGUUUGGGAAGCAAGAAAAGUUUGAUACUUUGUGGAUAUGCCCGUAGAAUAGAUGUAUUUAUAGAACAAAUGCUAUGUGGCAAGUUUUU
rnacentral:lncRNA from 1 species